CAGCACCUCAAGUGGUCAGGAUGAUUAUUGGGCCUAAAGCAUCCGUAGCCGGCGCUGUAAGUUUUCGGUUAAAUCUGUACGCUCAACGUACAGGCUGCCGGGAAUACUGCAGCGCUAGGGAGUGGGAGAGGUAGACGGUACUCGGUAGGAAGGGGUAAAAUCCUUUGAUCUAUUGAUGACCACCUGUGGCGAAGGCGGUCUACCAGAACACAUCCGACGGUGAGGGAUGAAAGCUGAGGGAGCAAACCGGAUUAGAUACCCGAGUAGUCC
rnacentral:rRNA from 1 species